CUGUGGGAUAGGCCGGGGGAGCUAGGGGUCCCUUGCAAGCGCAAACCCUCUACAGCGCGGCCGAAAAGCCUGGAGAGGUCCGGUUGUACGGCAGGCCUCAGGAACUGACUGAGAAGUCCUGUCCUUCUGGAGCGCUUCAGGCGCGAACCUGGUCAGGCCCGGAAGGGAGCAGCCAUAAGCGUCUGCAACGCUGUUAGAAGGGUAGCAGGAUGGAGAAGGCUUCUGGGACAACCUUCCGUGUGACCAAAGAUCCAUCCAGGCGAAUCCCAUCA
rnacentral:SRP_RNA from 1 species